GUCAUCAUCGUCCUCAGCUGCUGAACUGGGACGGUCUGCAGGACCAGAAAAAGGUUUUUACACAUCAGGCUCAGCACUGGAGCACAGUCCUGUUGAAUUGUGAUAUGAAAUGCUCUCCAAGACUGAAUAAAAAGCCUUUCUUAUUGUGUCAUGUGUUUUGGCCAUGUUCUGGCCUUGUUUCACUAACAAACGUCUGUGCCGUUGGCAAUAUACUAACUGUUCAAGGGGCUAUGAAUUGAUUCCCCGACCACCAUGAACUGAUAUCAACCACAAUCAGGGUAAGUAUUCUUUUUUUUAUUGUUGAGUUUUGAAUAUUUCUGUCUACUAACUCAUGAUGAUGCAUGUGCAUGUAAGUUACCUUUUCACAGUUUGAAAUGAUUAACAUUCCUUUGGUAGGCAUAAAGACUACCAUAAAGAUAAGCGGUUGAAGUAAGUAUGGGGUAUUUUGAAUCUUUUAUAUUAUUACACACAAAUGACUGACAAGAUUUUGCAGUGCCUUCUUCUGCCCUCUCUAGAACACCUACUGACAUCAAGCAACUGCCACAGGUCAAAGACAUCAGCACCACAGACAGCUCUCCAGACAGCAGGACACCAAAGAUGAAAAUCUCUCACCUUCAGAUAACACUUCAUAUAGUGUUCUACAUACAGCUGAGGCAUCACGUGACUCAUUAACCUCUGCCCUUGGCUCUUCAGUGUGCAGCCCUCCUGGGAACUUGUACUGCCAAUAUCCACCAUACGCAUUUAUGUAUAUACAUAUAUAUUUGCACAUACAUAUUAUAUAGUUUAUACUUUUUAUUUAUCUACCUCUUUUCGGUUUUAUUUUUAUCCUUAAUUCCAUUCCUUUCUAUGCUUGAAUACCGGACAGACGUAAAAAGCAUUUCACUGCAUGUCGUACUCUGUAUGUAUGUGUAUGUGACAAAUAAAAUUUAAUUUGAUUUGAAAUUGCUGGGAAAUAGAUUUACUGUCCUUCAAAAGUCUUUUCCAUUUACCAGCAUCAGGAGAUGGAAAAAGAAAUGACCUGGAAGGAGUUUCAGUAGUCUGCAUUUUAUGAGAUGGAAAGAGAUGGGUGGCAGAAAGGAGAAAUCAAAAAUAAAUGUUGUAAAUGUCCUUUC